rnacentral:rRNA from 1 species
GAAGGUCACGGCGAGACGAGCCGUUUAUCAUUACGAUAGGUGUCAAGUGGAAGUGCAGUGAUGUAUGCAGCUGAGGCAUCCUAACAGACCGGUAGACUUGAACCUUGUUCCUACAUGACCCGAUCAAUUCAGACCGGUAGACUUGAAC